GGCGAGGUAGCUCAGUUGGUCAGAGCAUGCGGCUCAUAUCCGCAGAGUCGGAAGUUCAAGUCUUCUCCUCGCUACCA
rnacentral:tRNA from 1 species